rnacentral:rRNA from 1 species
CUCCGUUGGUGAACCAGCGGAGGGAUCAUUACCGAGUACUAUAACUCAUAACCCUUUGUGAACCUUCAUACCUGUUGCUUCGGCGGCGCGCCUCUCGGGGCGUGCCCGCCGGCAUUAUCAGAAUCUCUGUUCGAACCCGACGAUACUUCUGAGUGUUCUAAGCGAACUGUUAAAACUUUCAACAACGGAUCUCUUGGCUCCAGCAUCGAUGAAGAACGCAGCGAAACGCGAUAUGUAAUGUGAAUUGCAGAAUUCAGUGAAUCAUCGAAUCUUUGAACGCACAUGGCGCCUUCCAGUAUCCUGGGAGGCAUGCCUGUCCGAGCGUCGUUUCAACCCUCGAGCCCCCGUGGCCCGGCGUUGGGGACCUGCCCAGGCAGUCCCCGAAAACCAGUGGCGGACCCGACGGGCCCUUCCUUUGCGUAGUAACAUCUGCCUCGCAUCGGGAGCCCCCGGGCUAUCCGGCCUCUAAACCCCCCUCAAGCCCGCUCCGGCGGCACCAAGGUUGACCUCGGAUCAGGUAGGAAUACCCGCUGAACUUAAG